rnacentral:rRNA from 1 species
UGGGGAAUUUUGGACAAUGGGGGAAACCCUGAUCCAGCCAUCCCGCGUGUGCGAUGAAGGCCUUCGGGUUGUAAAGCACUUUUGGCAGGAAAGAAACGUCGCGGGUUAAUACCCCGCGAAACUGACGGUACCUGCAGAAUAAGCACCGGCUAACUACGUGCCAGCAGCCGCGGUAAUACGUAGGGUGCAAGCGUUAAUCGGAAUUACUGGGCGUAAAGCGUGCGCAGGCGGUUCGGAAAGAAAGAUGUGAAAUCCCAGAGCUUAACUUUGGAACUGCAUUUUUAACUACCGGGCUAGAGUGUGUCAGAGGGAGGUGGAAUUCCGCGUGUAGCAGUGAAAUGCGUAGAUAUGCGGAGGAACACCGAUGGCGAAGGCAGCCUCCUGGGAUAACACUGACGCUCAUGCACGAAAGCGUGGGGAGCAAACAGGAUUAGAUACCUUGGUAGUCCACGCCCUAAACGAUGUCAACUAGCUGUUGGGGCCUUCGGGCCUUGGUAGCGCAGCUAACGCGUGAAGUUGACCGCCUGGGGAGUACGGUCGCAAGAUUAAAACUCAAAUGAAUUGACGGGGUCGAU